rnacentral:rRNA from 1 species
GACUUUCGACAACGGAUAUCUCGGCUCUCACAUUGAUGAAGAACAUAGAGAAAUGCGAUACCUGGUGUGAAUUGCAGAAUCCCGCGAACCAUCGAGUCUUUGAACGCAAGUUGCGCCCGAGGCCACUCGGCCGAGGGCACGCCUGCCUGGGCGUCA